AAAAUUUGGUUCGAUUUCAAGUAAAUAGAAAAGUCGAUUCAAAGAUAAGGGAAUAUUACUAGACCAAGGCCCCAUUUGGAUACCUCUAAAAACGUAACACUAUGCUACGCCGGUAGGAAAAUAAUCUUAUGAAGCGUUUGGAAGAAAAAAAAAAUGACGUAAUUUUUGGAGUAUAGUUAUACUAUACUCCAAAAAAUGGAGUAAACUUACAAUCCACUUUAACCAAAGGAAAAAAA
rnacentral:lncRNA from 1 species